GCGGCGCUUCCGCAGAGCUGCGCGGGUCCCGGGCUCGCUGCCUGCAGGGCCACAGCGCUUGUGAGGGGCGGAGAGCGGCCCCCCGGCAGCAGGGGUGGGCUUCGGCCGCGGGCACAUGAUUUACGUGUACCGCGCUGCCAAGCACAAAUAAAACACCCACGACGGGCAAGGACAGCGCUGGGCCUGCUGUAAGGAACUGUUCACGAACUUCUCCGAAAUAAUGGGCCAAUAUCUAGAAGGUGAUCUCCAGAGAAGGUGACACAGAUUCUACAGCAGCAUUGAAAGAAUUUUAGCAUUACUCCACCACCUUUUUAUUUUUUUUGCAGCAAAUGUGCAAAUCUGCAUUGACUUGCACCAUAUUUGACUGUAUGCUGAGUUUACAUUUGCAAAAAGCGGACACCAGCUGCCCAGAGUUUAGUUCUCAUCUUCUGUUCAUGCCAAAUAGCAGUAUGAACCUUAUGGUUAACACAUGUUGCAGUGGUUCACUUUCUGUGUAAAGGUUGGUAUCUGAUAAAGGUAAAACGAUAAGCAACAACAAUUAACCACCCCAGCUGGAACAUUUGGGCUAUAUUAGAAGUGAGAUGACCUGCUCAAUGCACCAACUUUGGAUUUUGCAUUAAAUCCUUAGGUCACUGUAUUUCCUGCACCACCAUGGUCAUAUUUUUGAUGUGAACCCAGUCAACUCAUCUGAUUUCUCUCAGCCUCAGUUUGCCAUCUGCAGAAGAAGAAAGGAAUUUCCAGACCUCAGUGUAUAUGACAAAGAUUAAGAGAUACUCCAGGUGUAACUGUACAAUGCAGUAACUUUGGCAGGAAAGGUGUCUGAAGGAUUUCUUGCUCACUUGCAGCCUCCCUGACUCCAUCCUGACACUGUAAUUUGUUAUUCUAUUCAGUUUUUGAAACCUACCCACCAUCCAGGCCACUGAAAUGACCUGGGUUAAAAAAAGCACACCACACCCCCCCAAUUCUUUAAAGUUUUUUUUUUUUACUGAGAUCCAGUUGUUAUUGAAGCUCCAGCAGCUGGUGACCUGUCAUGAAAAGGACCUUGAAAAGCAACAUGUCAUACUCUAACAUCAGAUAAUGAGCUGCAGUAAUCCAGAGGGAUGUCACAGCACAGCCUUUGUAAAGUCACUGUUUUUGAAGGGGAAAAACACCCCUCACAUAUGAUAUGGGUUCAGUAUCUGGUCCUACUUGAUCAGGUUUGGGGCUAGGGAUGGAACAGGAGCCAACUGAAAGCAAAGGUAAUAGAACAAUUACAUAGGGAUAUAUUUUAUCUCCAUUAUCUCCUUCAAACACCUACUGCUCCCACAAGACUGACAGACUCCAACACUUCAUUGCAUCAGUAACACCACAUCCUCUUGGACUGCUCCUUGGCAAUCAGUUUUAAAGUAUUGCCUGAAGCACGUCACUGCCGUUUUUCCUGACUACAGAUAAGAGACAGUAGCAAAGAAAGAAAUGGUGCAGGGAACUUCUUAUCUGCAGAAAUAAAGCACAGGUUUUCUGAGUCCUGCCCAAUGCACUGACUACAAAGCCUCAUCUCCUGCUAUUUGGUGAGGUCUGUUGACUCCCCAAAGGGACUGUGUGCCACGUGCAGCAGCAAUAGGAGGUGUGGAGCAGGGAGGAGAGGUGUCUGGAAGGGAGUGAGGUGUGUUUCUCUAAAUAUGUAUUAGUUUGUUGGUUUCAAUAACAGAAUCAGUGAUUAAGAGUUUGUUAAUUGGCAACAAAUUAAAUCAGUUGAAAUUC